rnacentral:tRNA from 1 species
UGGGGUGUAGCCCCGCCAAUGGGCGGGGUGCCUGGUUUGGGACCAGGAGGUCGUCGGUUCGAGUCCGGCCACCCCGA